UACAGAGGUCUCAAGCGUUUGUUCGGAUUCAUUGGGCGUAAAGGGUGCGUAGGUGGCAUGGUAAGUCGGAUGUGAAAUCCCGGGGCUCAACCCCGGAACUGCAUUCGAUACUGCUGAGCUAGAGUACUGGAGAGGAGAUUGGAAUUUACGGUGUAGCAGUGAAAUGCGUAGAUAUCGUAAGGAAGACCAGUGGCGAAGGCGGAUCGUCUGGACAGUUACUGACACUG
rnacentral:rRNA from 1 species